rnacentral:lncRNA from 10 species
UGAUCUGCCCUCCGCCCGCCUCCUCGGCCUCCCAAAGUGCUGGGAUUACAGGCGUGAGCCACUGUGCCCAGCCAAGAAUACGUUAUUUAGUCUUGAAUUACAGAUUUCAUUGAACAUCUACAGAUCAGUCUAUGACGUCCUUAACUUGCUCAGUGGAGCCAGUUUUCCCCAUUCCAAGAUGAAAAUAUGGACAGUACUAAGACUGUUCUGAUCUCUCUUAGGUCCUGUAGUUAUUUUAUAUUACCAAACACAAUGCCAAUUCAGAAACUCAACGUUUAGUUCCAAAGGUAAGUCUCCUUUCCUCCAGCAAGGGCUUUGCAAGGAUGGGAAGAUGAGAAAUGGGGAAACAGGUCCUCAACAUUAUGCAUCUAUCCUUCUUCUCCUGUCUUGCUAAUGGUGGUUUCUAACCCUCCAAGGUUGAGUAGAAUGGGGAAGGGUUGGGGGAAGGAGUGGUCUGGGGCGUGGAGCAGGCACGGUUUGCAAGAGGGCUUUGCAUUCUCUGGGACUGGUAGGGGCUUACAGGGGAUUCCUCCUCCUUGGGUGCUUCUUCCGAGACCCCUCACCCCUAAUGCCAUACAGUUGCAAAUGAGGAUUUCUUUCCACGAUUUAUUCCUCCCACAGCUCAUAGGAAUGCAGUAAUCACUUCAGCUUCUCUCUGCUGAGGCCUGUUGAUGCCUGUAGGUGGCCACAUCAGACAGGAUUAGCUCGGCUCCACAUCAGCUCGCUUCCUAGCAUGCCUCACACUAGUCUGCUGGAAAUACUUACACAGCCUUGCCCUGAAAACCUGGGAUACAGGUCCCCAGUGCCUCCUCCUUUCCUACACUCCCACUCCCAGGGCAGAAAACCAGCCUGUCUCCUACCAUGAGGCUUGACUUGAAACUCAGAGACCUUGAAAAAGAAAGAAAAAGAAGAAGAAAGAAAGAAAGAAAGAAAGAAAAAAAGAAAGAAAGAAAAGAUGGGACCAUUGGUCGCCAUGGACACUGUUUCCACAGCUACUUUGCUAUUUUGAUUGUCAUUGCGUAUUGUUUGAAAGACUCUGCUAUGAGAAAAAUAUAACUAUUUCUCAAUUUAACCGUGAUAGACUAUAAGUAGAUAAAAUAAGGUUGAGACAGAUUAAAUAAACUAUUAAGGGGAAGAACUAGACUAGAACCCAGGUUUUCUGGCUUCUUAUCUGGUGUCUGUUUUCACUCUGAAACUCACUUAGGGUCACGGACUCACUGACUCACAGAUUCAGUGUGACAAAGAUAAUCAGAAACCAAGUCACUGUAACAAAAGCCCCCUAAAGACAGGACACCAGCUCACUGCUGUAUCCUCAGUGUUGACGUCAGUGUGCUUGUCCAAUAAUCCACACUUAAUAAAUGUGAGUAGAAUGAGUGAAUUAAUUAAUUAAUGGUUUAGUUGUUUAGUUUGUGAGGGAACAAGUAUCUGAAAAUGUUAAAUGAAUCACUGAAAGUCAUUUAUAUAUAUGUGUGUGUGUAUAUAUAUACAUAUAUAUAUAUAUAUUUUUUAAAUACAGAGUCUUGCUAUGUUAUCCGAGCUGGUCUCCAACUCCUGAGCUCAAGCAAACCACUCGCCUCGGCCUCCCAAAGUGCUGGGAUUACAGGUGUGAGCCACCUCACCCUGUAAUAUAAUAUAAAUGCCGAAAGUCAUUUAUAUUUUAUAGGUUGUAAGACAUAUAUUUAUUUUCCCAUUUAUCAUCUCUUGAAUAGGGAUGCGUCUUACAAUCAAUGGCGUGUCAUAGUUUAACCCGCUGUGUUUUCCUCUUAGUGCUGCAUGAAAUAAUGGUAUGUUUUCCGGCAACGGAGCUUUAGAUGCAAUGAGGAGCAGCAGUUGUUUGUGGACAUACGUUGUGUCUCAUGUCUCCAAAGAAGAUGUGGAACAUUGAAGCAUUUCACAACGUUUGCAUGUACAUGACAGCAAUAUUCAUUCGCUUCUGCCAGGCACCUUGAAGGCAAAAGCUAUUUACAUGGCUCUCCACUGUGUUCUCAUAGCCAUGCACAGGCUUAUAUGUCCUCUGCAAAGAUGUGAUAGAUGAUCAAAGGAAACAUCCAGUCUCCUCCCUCUCCCUCUCCCUCCCCCUCCCCCUCCCUCUCCUCCCCCUCCCC